AGUCAAAUGAGAUAUUAAAAAACUAAUACAGUUUUUAGGCCUAUAUAAUAGAAGUUAUGUUAGUCUUACUGGUUACAAAGAAAUAAAAUAUAAAUUGAAAUCUUACAAAAUGGCAUGUCACACCAAUCAAUCUUGUUUUUUGAGUGUUUUAUGCCUUGUUUUGAUGGUUAGUUCGGGAUUGGUUACCAGUAUUUUGGUCCCUCCCGGAGGAGUUUGUAUAGGGCCUUGUGUUGCAACGUGCGACCAGGAUUGCCGUGGCAAGGGAUUUGGAAAAGGGGGACAAUGUUAUACUCAUCUUGAGAAGACAACAUGUUGUUGUUUUCACCAAUGAAUUUUAUUGUAUGAGUUCAAUAAAAAUAAUAAAACGUGCACUUCAGUUUAGCUCUGGAACUUACUUUUUGUAAGAAAUUUGUGUAAAUCUUUAAAAUACUAUAAACACUAUUAUGAAUAAAUGAAAUUUAAAAUGGAAUA